CUCUGCUCCCUGGAGGAGAGAUUCAGCUCUGCAAAGCCAAUCUUCUUCCCUCCUCAUCCCAAGCCCUGCUCACUUGAUAAAGAAGGAAUUCACUUACCAGGAUGCAGUGUCUGGCAGUGAUACCUCAUUCUGCAACAGAAGUGGUUGAACUACACUGGAAAAUAAGCAAUGAUCGCAAAGAAAGGGAAAUGGAGAAUGUUUUGCGAAUUUGGAUUUGGGGGAAUGAAAUAGAACUUUUGGAGAAGGAAGCACAUGGUGAAAAGCGCUGGUCUUUUGCUCAGGGAACAACUUGUGGUAUGAAACGUUUGGACCCCUUGCAGAGGGGGGAACCCCAUACCAUGCAUGAGAAACAGCUGAUGCCUGUUGACCUUCUUCUGUGUUAUUGUAAGUUAUUUCAACAUACAAGGAUCAAAACUGAGAAAACAAAAUCUUGGCACCACCUCCAAAAAGUUAUUGUUGUUGAUAGAAGGUGGUGGAUUGAAAUAUCCCUAGAGGCUCUCUGGAAAGAAAAUGGGGAUUAAAUGGGGACUCAGUUUCCCUGGAUUCUUAAUGAAGCUUUGCAAACUGCUCCUGCCCUGCCUCCUUCUGGCAGCCCUGGCUAUUGGGCCUUCUCUGCCACCAAAGGCUGGAAGCCAAAAUGCUGCUGCUAGAGCAUAACCCUUAGGAGAAAAUGCUUUUAUCAUCGUGCAAGUUUGUUGUUUUGGUCUCACUAAUAAGCCUGAAUGUUCAAGAAUGUCCUCACUAGUCAGGAGACUGGGUGUACAUCCAGACCCGGAAUGGAGAGCCACUUAACCAGAAGUGGAAAGGACUUUUGAUCCCAUGGCUGUGAGAUUUACAGCUGGACAUUCCUAAAUUAUGUGAUUAAAGUUAGCUCUGGACACAUGGAAUUGUAUUGGACAGUCCAGUAAAUGUAACUCUGCUGCAAAUAAAGCUGCAAUGGACAUUUCUAAAGUGAAAAACAUUAAAUGGUUUCUCUUUCUGCCCAUUUCCAGAGCAGUGUCCCUGGUAUGGCAGCAAGGCUGUUUGUUCCUGAAUUAGUCAACCAUCCUAGCAGGACCGUGUACCUAAUGACUACAAUAGCAAGUAUAGCUUUGAGUGCCAGAGGGAAAAGGAAAGAAGGCCAGAAGUUUCUCUCAAGGAUUAGGUGAAAAGCCACCUCAUGGGACCUCAGGGACUUCACCAAAUACUUGAGGACAUCUAAUUGGAUAGAAGCCAAAAAGUGCCGCUUGAUCCAUCAGGGAGAAAAAGAAGAGAAGAAAAGAGCUAAGUGCUUUUGUGAAGUGUUUUUACCAGGAGCGGACUGCUGCACCUGGCUCGAGUUUUUCUCUUUGUUAUUAUGCCUUUUAUUAAACCUUUUUGUUUCUAACACUGCA